AUGGAGCAUUGGUUUUGUCUUCAGGAAACUACUGGAAGUUCCCAGAAUCCCAGAAUUAAUCUGGGGUGUCUCAUUGAGGAAACCCUAAACAGUAGUGCUGACACCAGAAAGAACUUUCUCUUGCUGGGAAAAAAACCAGAGUUCACCUCCAGGACGAAGAUGGUAGGUCUUCUGGAAUCCAGGCUCCUUCUGUCCUCUUGUUUCACCAACCUUGCGUCAUCAUUUCAUGAUCUAAAAUCUGCAUUGUGGAGACAGAAAGGAGGGAAAGGAAAGAAGAGCAUCCUUCAUCCUAGGAGGCUUCCUCUUAACCUCAUUGGGCAGAAUUUAGUCCUGUGGCUGCACCUCCACAUAAAAGCGGGGGGAAAGUUGAACUUUUCUCCCAUCAGGCUUCUGAUCCAAAAGAACAAGUCUAGCAUGGACAACAGGAUAGACGCCUAACAGUGUCUGUCACCUGCCACUCUCUUGCCUAAAGCACUGGCCUACUAUAAGUACACAACCUUCGGAUGCCAAGGUAAUAAUCUAUGCUGUCUGGUGGGGGAAACAAAAUCCAUUAAGCUUGAGCAAUAUUGUUCACGUCACCAGUGUUUUUUCGGUUGUGUCUAUUGCAAAAUUCUAAUCUCACCUCUGAUGUGCUUACUUGUUACUGUAACAUAAGAGCCAAAUAGAUGUCAGCAGAUGCAACUAUUAAAAACUUCCAUAUCUAUUAAGACAAAACCUUUGCAGCGGCAAUAACAAAGCCAUAAAGCACUGAAAGCUAUAAAAUUAGAACAUUGAAGUUUUUAUGAAAAAGCAAAACAGAACAUUAAACCCGUCGUAUUGACCACGGUAUUUGAAACUUCCAAUUAUCAUGCUAAUUGCAAAAUCUUAGACUAGGACAUGGAAAAAAGGGAAAUAAAUUAAUGUUACCAUGAAAACCCUAAUUUUUUUUAGACCAUAACUUUGAAAUAAUUCUGCCUUGAGGUUUUAUGCAUAAAAGGAAGCAACAGAGCAGAGUGGAAAACGCAUGCGAGGGUAAUACUGACACCGACGGAGGCCAUGGAGGCUUUGAUGUCAACGCUGCCGGAGUUACAAAAGAACCAGAGCCGACUUACCUGCUGCUGAUAUUCAACUGGGGAUAAUUAAGCCACCAUCCGUUCUCCUGAGCAGAACAGACACCUUUUCUCAGAGGCAGAAGCAUGCUUCUUUAAGUUCUGCCCAAAUCAUAUCCUAAACUCACAGAAAGAAUUUCUCUUUAAAUUGUGACUUAUUGCAGGUUUUAACUGUAGCCAGUGUUUCACUUCCUUUUGCUUGUUGGUUAAUGACGGAUCCUGGUCCAAAGCGAAGGCCCCCUCCCUGUCUCCAAGGGUUUCUGAGAAUUUCCCCUGUGCUCCAUGUGCUUGUGAAAAAGCCCAGCUGAAUUUCAAGAGGCAGCUGAAAUGUUGUUUCUUUUCUUUUUUUCGGGGUCCUGGUGUCCGGGCCCUCUCCUCCCUAAUAGAGUGCUGCAUCUGCAAGCCUGGUGACUGGCAGCCGUGUCCCUGAGUGCUGUGGCUCCCCCAGCACGCUACCAGCUCUGCCGGUCACUCAUGACUCUCAGCCUUCCACCUCGAUGAUGCAUCAGCACUGCCUACAAAAUUCGUCAAAAUGCUGAGGUGUGACUGAACCCCAACAGUGGCACCAGCGUAGAUGGGAGCUGUAAACUUGCAUCAGGGGCUCAGGGUCUUCUCCCCCUUUUCCAUAAUAAUAGAAUCCAUGUUCACAGCACAAAUUAAAGCCCAGAGUUUCUAACUUCUCCUAUAGUUAAAUUUAGAAGUGUAUGUGUAAGUUCUGGCCCAAGAGAGAUAAGUGAAAAUGAAAGAGAGAUGUCAUACCCUUCUUUCCUCCAUCCAUCUUUCUGUUGGUGAGGAUGUAGAUGUGAUGGCUGGAGCUUCAGCAGCAAUCAUGAGCUAUGAGAUGACCUGGAGAAUGGAAAGUACAUGUGCAAAAACAACCAACCAAAGAAACAAACAAAAAAAGCACUUGGGUUCUCCUGACAUUAUGAAGUACAAUCUAGCUCAGAAGUAAUGGUCUCUGCACUUACAGAACGUACAAGAAAAAUAAUCUUUCUAAUCACUCUUUAUAUAUCUAGACUUACCAAUCUUACAUCUCCCUUAGGAUCUGGCAGGUAACUGACUAGGUAAUAUGAUAAUUAAAUUUAUACUAAGUUAUUCAUAGGGAAUAAUGAGUGUUUUUAUUCUAAUCUAGCAUUCUAAUAGGGUCUUGGAUGACUAGACCCCAGGAGUGACUAACACAGGUAACCUGGCAGGUAAUUUUGGUAGGUAUUUUCCGGCAGGUAGGUGUUUUGACAUCUGAUGUAAGAAAUACAGUUCUGCAAACUGUCAGGCCGCUCCAAGUUUACAUACACUGCAUGUCAGAUUCAAUUAGGAUUCCCGGAUGCUUAUCUCAACUCUCUUCUAUAUUGCUUCCACGUGUAAAACGAUGCCAACGGUGUUCAAAAUAAGACACAUGGAGCCUGGGUGAGAAGAAGUGUGGAAAUGAGCAGCUUGAAAACUUUUUACAAUUUUCAGGCUCUCCCCGUAAUCUCCAUCAGCUAGCCCUCAACUGCCCGCGAAUAAGCAGGAAUCUAAGGAAAAACAGCACCUGCCACGCAGAAACACGGCUUCUAGGUAAGUCCCUUGGCUCUGGUCCUUCCCACAAAACUGUGACCCCAACAGUCUUCCGUCUGGAAAUGAUGGGGCUCCCACGCAUGGUCGCAGCCUUCUGUUUUUCACCUCUUCAAACCAUCAAAGCCAACUUUCCUAAUUAUGUAUGAAACAGUAAUGAGUUGUUGUCAUUUUCGUAGUCGUCUUCAUGGGCUUUUCCCUAACUUCGUAGGAGUCAGAGCUAGCCGACAGCCAGGAAAAUAGACAGGAGACGCAGAAGCCCCCCCAAGUCACCAAAUCCCACCUGAGUCAACCUCAGUUUUCUGAGCCUCUCCUGGCAUCACUUCCUGUAGAAACACAGUAAUAUGACCCUGUAUCCUGGACCCCAAAGCAACAGCUUAUGACAGGCCUGUAAUUGUAAACCCACUUCCUUGAAGACAGCCAGGCCUUGAAACGCCAGGCGACCUUGGAAAACAGGGAGCACAUAACCUCUCCGUGACCUCUUAUCUUGCCCUCUUCCUCCUUCUCCCUCUGUCUUCCAUGCCACCGCUGUUUACAAUAGUGGACCCCUGGCAGGAAAUGAGUUAAACAAAAAACCAAAGCAAAAAUCCUUCCGUUACUUAACCCCCUCCUCUUGCCACAUGAAGAAAUGCCCCCCCCCCCAGCAAAGCUGGCAGUUCCAAGUUGAGUAUAAAAUAAGGCCAUUGCUUUCUACCAGGACUGGCCCCAGGUAUUGGAGGAUGGACUCAGCGCAACGAAGGAGGAAAAUUAGAAGGGAUAUAAGAGAG
rnacentral:lncRNA from 1 species